rnacentral:rRNA from 1 species
AUGCCAAACAGAGCAUCCAUCGUUAAGUAUCGCAAACCAGCCACAACAGUCCAGCGGUUCUUUUCAGUGGCCAUCUCUGGUCACCUAGUGUCAUGUUUAAAAAGGAUCGACAAAAUCCAUUCGUCCAGACAAUCAGUCAUGAACUCAUGUUCCCAUCCAGCAAAAGACAUCAUCCACAGUUCUACUAGUAGUAUGCAUUAUCCACAUGAAAAAGGAGCUCAAAUUGAAAGGCCCCUUGAUCUCACCAGAACUAUUUACAAAGGAGCCAUGGAAAACUCAGUCUCAUUUCCACCGCUGGAUAAUAAGAGACAUCAUAGUACAAGUAGUACAGUCGGUCUGUACACCAAACGAAUCAACAGAAUAAACCGAAAGAGGCAAUCCGGAUGA